GGAGGAGAAGAAGGUUCGCUGAGGAUGGAGCCAGGCUUACAAGAUGGGAAGGGGUGGGUUUGGGGUCCAAAAGUGGCACGUCCCGCUGAGCAGGCCUGGAGAGGUCACAGAAACUGUGGCUGAGCUCAAUGCACAGAGCCUUGGACCAAGAAGACUUUACUCUUCUCCUGUGCCUCCUUCCAUCUGGCAUUUGAGCUCAGGUAGCCAAGAACCAAAGAGCUAAUUCGCUGUAGAUAGAGUCAACCACAUAGAUGGCUUCUGCUUAAUUUGCUGAUGAAAUAGCAACUUUGUCCAUGUUGGGAUCUCUACUUACACACUUGGUUUCCUUUGAAAAUUAAAACCCUGACCUAGAAAACAAGCACACUGUUCAGGGACACCAUCUUGUAAGUUUGGUUGUUAACCACCCGCUGCUCUCAAUAAAUCAGUCUGUGAACUACUGAUCCAUGUCACAGCAGUCCACCUGUCUAUCUGUUGGAAACAUGUGCCUACAAACCGAACAUUGCUCCUUGCAGUUUGUUCAGUUAAAGAUACUCUACUUUCGUUAACUGUAAUUUAUGUUUAUAGAUAUAUAAAGCAAAGUAAGUAUCAGUAAAUGUGAUCUCAUGCUUAUGGCUUGAGACUAGUAAUAGGUGGUAGAGUACUGUUAAAUUUUGCAAUUGCUAAAGAAGUUGCUUAUCAUUCAUUUCUUAAACCAUGUUACUCACUAUAGCUGCAGUGGCAGACUUUUACUAUAAUCAAUACAUUUUAAGAUAACUUUGAUAGUUUCAUAGGAUAUAUUUGCUUUGUGUUCAUCCUCAAAUGUUCUUGAGUAGUUUAGGUAAUGACUUUGUCUUAUGAGGACC
rnacentral:lncRNA from 1 species